ensembl:snoRNA
ACUGGCACAAUGAUGAUUUCCUUUUGCCGUUUACCCAUCUGAAUGUGUGAUGUGUAUUUCCAAUUCUGAGGUGCCAGU